CUGCGCUCCUUCCCCUGGCAGGGGGGCGGCGGGCGAGCGGAGAGGCCCGCGGGGCUCGCGGGAGUCCAGGGGCAGACGGGAUGGGUCUCCGUGCUGAAACCCCCGGCGCUCCUGCCACAGCUUAGAAGCAAAGUUAAGAGACUCAUCAGAUUCUGAGCUGCUGCGGGAUAUUUUGCAGAAGACUGUGAAGCAUCCUGUGUGUGUGUGAAGCACCCGCCGUCAGUCAAGAAAGCCCGGUGCUUUCUCUCAGAACUCAUCAAAAAGACGUGCUGUAUUGCCCAGAAGCCAUCGUGUCGCUGGUCGGGAUCCUGCGGAGGCUGGCUGCCUGCUGGGAGCACCAGCAGUCUCCUGAGGUCUACGUGGCCUUUACCGUCCACAACCCAGAGACGUGCCAGCUGUUCACCACCGAGCUAGGCCUGUCCUAGCAGCCCCACACAAAACGCUCACGUCCUGUCCCCAAACACCGCCAUCCUCAAGCACGUGCUCUGUUUCCAGGCCGGGCUGGGAUCAUAUGGGAAGCGGAAGCUCAUCAUGACCAGAAACUGUUUCCCUAUGGAGAGCACUUGGAGAUGGCAAUGCUGAACCUCACACUGUAGGACUCACACACGACUCCAACGGGAUUGUGAGAAUCAAGUCAAUCUCAUGGGAAGAAUUUUUAUAUGGGAAAGCGGAUAAAACUUUCAUUGUACUGGAAUGUUUGGAGAAUGUUAAAUUCCAAAUCAGAAACCACAAACUGCCCUCUAAUAAGACAUCGGCUAUCUAAGCGUGUGGGUGCCCCCUUUCUGCCAGCAGUUCUGGUUCUUACGAAAAUCACCAUAUAUCAGACAUGAAAAUUCUGG
rnacentral:lncRNA from 1 species